rnacentral:rRNA from 1 species
GAUGAACGCUGGCGGCGUGCCUAAUACAUGCAAGUCGAGCGAACGGACGAGAAGCUUGCUUCUCUGAUGUUAGCGGCGGACGGGUGAGUAACACGUGGAUAACCUACCUAUAAGACUGGGAUAACUUCGGGAAACCGGAGCCAAUACCGGAUGAUAUUUUGAACCGCAUGGUUCAAAAGUGAAAGACGGUCUUGCUGUCACUUAUAGAUGGAUCCGCGUUGCAUUAGCUAGUUGGUAAGGUAACGGCUUACCAAGGCAACGAUGCAUAGCCGACCUGAGAGGGUGAUCGGCCACACUGGAACUGAGACACGGUCCAGACUCCUACGGGAGGCAGCAGUAGGGAAUCUUCCGCAAUGGGCGAAAGCCUGACGGAGCAACGCCGCGUGAGUGAUGAAGGUCUUCGGAUCGUAAAACUCUGUUAUUAGGGAAGAACAUAUGUGUAAGUAACUGUGCACAUCUUGACGGUACCUAAUCAGAAAGCCACGGCUAACUACGUG